GCCACUUCUGAUUUCUGUGACCUCUGGCAGGCUGUUUCAAGUCUCCUAGGCUCAAUUUCCCUACAACUGAAGUAAAAGAGAAAAAAUAACUCCUACUCUUAGAGUGCAAGGAUUAGAGAGCAUGUUUGCAAAGGACUCUCAAGUGGCUGGCACAUAGAAAACGGUCAAUAAAUGUUGGCGAUUCUGAUAGCAAUGGACCAGGCAGAACCUCUCCACUGGCGAAGAAACAAAAUCAUCUCCAGACACCAUGGACCACAGCCGUAAUUCUGCCACCGACUUUCUGCUUGACCUUGGAUAAGACACCGGGUUUCUUGGCCUGAAUUUCUUCAUCUGCAACAUGAGGAGUUUGAACUCAAAGAUAUUAUAUCUUAGGCCCCAUUUGGUAAAUAAAAUCCUCUGACUCCCCC
rnacentral:lncRNA from 1 species